rnacentral:rRNA from 1 species
GAGUUUGAUCGUGGCUCAGAACGAACGCUGGCGGCGUGGAUAAGACAUGCAAGUCGAACGGGAGAAUUGCUAGCUUGCUAAUAAUUCUCUAGUGGCGCACGGGUGAGUAACACGUGAGUAACCUGCCCCCGAGAGCGGGAUAGCCCUGGGAAACUGGGAUUAAUACCGCAUAGUAUCGAAAGAUUAAAGCAGCAAUGCGCUUGGGGAUGGGCUCGCGGCCUAUUAGUUAGUUGGUGAGGUAACGGCUCACCAAGGCGAUGACGGGUAGCCGGUCUGAGAGGAUGUCCGGCCACACUGGAACUGAGACACGGUCCAGACACCUACGGGUGGCAGCAGUCGAGAAUCAUUCACAAUGGGGGAAACCCUGAUGGUGCGACGCCGCGUGGGGGAAUGAAGGUCUUCGGAUUGUAAACCCCCGUCAUGUGGGAGCAAAUUAAAAAGAUAGUACCACAAGAGGAAGAGACGGCUAACUCUGUGCCAGCAGCCGCCGUAAC